CUGGGAGCUGUGCUGGAUUAUGACUUAGAAUUUAUGAGAGAACUCCUUGCUGCAGGAGAGAAGAAAACCAGGUCACAGACUCCGCAGUAAAUGCUCUGCAACUACACACUGCAAAAUACAUUCAGCCCAUUGUGACUGGCAGUGACGUCAGCAGACUCACAGCGGAAAUUUGCACCAAGCCAGGGCAGAUUCCACUCAACAUUUUCCCCCCCUAAAAAAACCAACCAACCCAAAUAUUGCUGAGAACCCCAUUUCCCAAGUUGUGCUUUCCCACUCCUUCAAAACUCUCCCCUCGUCCAUCCAUGCCUGGCGCUGCCCAGAGAGACGUUAUGUAUCUGUUGUACAGACUAUGAAUAAAAGCUGUGAUGGCUUUGGAAGGCUGCCACUUCUCUACCCACUGCAGAGCUGGGACUGUCUCCAAGGGCUGCUCAGUUCACACUACAUCUGGACUCUUGGCACGCUGGCAUCUUUAUUCCCCCACACGCACCCACCUCGGCUCAGACGGUGCUGAUUCACACAUUUCAUGCGAACACGCCGAACAACUGAGACACAUGCCAGGGGAAAAAAUUGCUUUAAAGAAGCUGCACAAACACACACGCAAAAAUCAAGCCCCAAAUUGGUGGAACGUGCUUUACCUGGAAGCUUGCAGCCUGAAGAAUGGAGGGAGGCAUCUGACAUCGAGAGCCUUUCGCAUCCCAGUACACACCACAGACUCAAGGAAGGAGAAACUUAUCAUGGCGGAAGGAAGCGAACAGUUGAGGCAAAUUUAAAAGGUCGGCGCACAGUGGCUGAGUAAAAAAAAACGUAGCGUUGGACUGAAAACAUGACACCAUUUUUCUUACUAAAAGAAAUAUUGCAAUGAUCCAAAAAAUUUUUCCACUGAGCAGCACUUAAGGAAAAACUAUUUGAAAUAAAUACAAACAAAAUCGGAAUGAACCUGGAAGAUGUCGCCACAGCCAGCAGAGAGAACUGGAAAGAUUCUGUGGCAGCCAGUUGCUGCACACCCCAGCUUGCUGUCCAACAGUUCGGGGACUUCUCCACCUCGCUGGCAUCCAGCAGACUGGCUGUUUAGCCAUGGUUAAGUCUUUGCCAUACAGCUGUUCUCAGAUCGAAUUGAUUUUGCCAGUGCCUGGUUAAAGGAACACGGGCUACCUGAGAGGAGCUGAUUUGUUUUUACCUGGUUCGGGGGUGGCUGGAGAGCAGUGCCUGCUGAUCAGACAAAGGACAGCAGAUGUCUGCAGCCCGUCCAGACGCUCUGCCUUGAACCAAGUGGUUUUACUAUAGCAAAGCAUCACUGGUCUGUACUGUACCCCUUUCCUCUGCUCCCACCCGUUACUGACCACGUGACCAAAGGCAAGUCACUGAGCUCUUCUGUGCCUCAGUUUCCCUGUCUGGAAACAGGGGAGUUCGUUGCCUCUCUCAGAGCGGGUGGCGAGGGGCAGAGGGUUGCUGUGGCUCUGGGCUGUAUGAGUGCUCAGUGUUGUUAUUCUGAACCAGGAGGAAUAAAGCAUUGGGGCAUUUCUGUCAAGGUUCUCCCCAGGCUUUACCCCCUGGGUAAGGAGCAGUGAAGGAGAUUUCAGAAAACCUCAUGGAGUACGGGGGGCGGGGGGAGUUAACGUGGUUUUAUACCUGCUUAGAGCCGUUCUGAUGGGCACAUUUGACCCAUCACAAAACCAGCAGCCAGAGCACUGGGCUGGGACUCAGGAGACCUGGGUUAUUUCCCCAGCACUCCACAGACUAGCUGGGUGACCUUGGGCAAGUUCCGGCCCCUCCCCGCCGCUCUCCUUCCCCUCCCCACACGUCGGCUGGCCUGCCCGGCUGGAUCGUGUGCUCAGACUCUUCCAACGGGCAGUGCCCAGCACAAGGGGGCCUGAUAUCACCCGGGGCCACUGACGUACAAAUAAAUGAUUGCUGCAAUGUU